rnacentral:rRNA from 1 species
UGGGGAAUAUUGCACAAUGGGGGAAACCCUGAUGCAGCGACGCCGCGUGAACGAAGAAGGUAUUAGUAUCGUAAAGUUCUGUCCUAUGGGAAGAUAAUGACAGUACCAUAGAAGAAAGCUCCGGCUAAAUACGUGCCAGCAGCCGCGGUAAUACGUAUGGAGCGAGCGUUGUCCGGAAUUAUUGGGCGUAAAGGGUACGCAGGCGGUUUAAUAAGUCGAAUGUUAAAGAUCGGGGCUCAACCCCGCAAAGCAUUGGAAACUGAUAAACUUGAGUAGUGGAGAGGAAAGUGGAAUUCCUAGUGUAGUGGUGAAAUACGUAGAUAUUAGGAGGAAUACCAGUAGCGAAGGCGACUUUCUGGACACAAACUGACGCUGAGGUACGAAAGCGUGGGGAGCAAACAGG